CGGGGUGGAGUAACGCGUGGAUAACCUGCCUCACACUGGGGGAUAACAGUUAGAAGUGACUGCUAAUACCGCAUAAGCGCACAGUACCGCAUGGUACAGUGUGAAAAACUCCGGUGGUGUGAGAUGGAUCCGCGUCUGAUUAGCCAGUUGGCGGGGUAACGGCCCACCAAAGCGACGAUCAGUAGCCGACCUGAGAGGGUGACCGGCCACAUUGGGACUGAGACACGGCCCAA
rnacentral:rRNA from 1 species